rnacentral:rRNA from 1 species
GAUGAACGCUGGCGGCGUGCCUAAUACAUGCAAGUCGAGCGAACAGGCGAGGAGCUUGCUCCUCUGACGUUAGCGGCGGACGGGUGAGUAACACGUGGAUAACCUACCUAUAAGACUGGGAUAACUUCGGGAAACCGGAGCUAAUACCGGAUAAUAUAUUGAACCGCAUGGUUCAAUAGUGAAAGACGGUUUUGCUGUCACUUAUAGAUGGAUCCGCGCCGCAUUAGCUAGUUGGUAAGGUAACGGCCUACCAAGGCGACGAUGCGUAGCCGACCUGAGAGGGUGAUCGGCCACACUGGAACUGAGACACGGUCCAGACUCCUACGGGAGGCAGCAGUAGGGAAUCUUCCGCAAUGGGCGAAAGCCUGACGGAGCAACGCCGCGUGAGUGAUGAAGGUCUUCGGAUCGUAAAACUCUGUUAUUAGGGAAGAACAAAUGUGUAAGUAACUAUGCACGUCUUGACGGUACCUAAUCAGAAAGCCACGGCUAACUACGUG